GAUAGCACGCGGCUACGGCCUGCACACCGUGAACUUCAACGCCGGUAAAAUAUACUUGUUCACAAGGAACCCUGGCGAGCUCGUAGAAAAAAUGCGAUCGAAACCGUUAUUACUGGACGUGUACAGAAUCAAAGAAAUUGUUAUCUGCCCCGAGGAAGUGUUAAAGGACCCAUUAGGGAACGCUGUAAUUCCAAUACCAGGUUGCCUCUGCGACUACGUGAUGAUGCCGGGCAACGAUAUAUUUCACCUGCCUAAGCCAUAUGAGAUAAAAAAUACUUUUUGCCUCGUAGACGAGGAAUACAAACCGACCGGUUACAUACACAUCUUCUUUAGGAUGACCUGUUUCGGAACGUACACUGUCCAUCCGUUUUCGAUCGCCAACAAAAAAUUGUUAUUCAAAAACACCGGCUCCUUCAAUGAGUUUUUAUGCACCAAAGUGCCGUAUCUGGACGAAGAUGAGAGAAGAGCUGCCGAGGCGGGUGCGAAGUUCUGCCAACCUGACAAGGUGCCCGAGGAGAGUGAGUUGGACACACCUCCGAGGCCGGUGAAUAUAGUCGGUUUAAUACUGGCCUGUAAAGAAUUAUCGCGGAGAGACGGGUAUCCCCUAAAUGUCAUUCCUCCCAACUACCCGCCGAAAAUACCGCAGGUACACGUUGAGGAAGUUGCAUUUGACAUCGACAAAGCGAGACGAAAAGGAUUCGAAGAGACAGUUGAAGAGGAACCUGGUAUGAUUGUUGACACAAAACACAGAGCGUGUAUCAAUAUUAGAUGCCCUGGUAACAUUUGCUCGGGUCAAAAGUAACCAUAUAUUAUUUUUUUGUAAAAAUUGACAAUCCUGUGAAAUGACAAAAAUAUUAAGAAAACAAACGGCGUGCAUCAAUCGAGCAAAAGUUUCGUGACGUUUCAAUCGUAUAGUACACAAACGACUACUAUAAAUGUCGGGUUAAUGGUACCUCCACUUGAGCCGUAAGGCUCUAAGUCACUUUUCUGUGCGGAACCAAAUACAGAGGAAUGUACGUGACCACUCCUUCCAAUCAUGAGAUUUUGUCGAAGUUGCAAGCAACGAGUUCAACACUGAGAAAAAAAGCUGGAGUUUUCGGGAUCGCGUAGCAAUUAAGCAUACAUCGUGUGGAUCAUCCCUAGGAUAGGAUAAAACACACAUAGAAAGAAAACGGGGAGCCUAGUUUUGAGGAGGCAUAUAAAAAAAGUUCGCAAAUUAUUCCACUUAAUUAGGUUUUUCUCGUAAUUAGUGCGAACUGUCACAAAAUGGACAUGGCGGUAACUCAUUGCACUUACACGUAGAGGAUAUAUUCGGAGCCUUGCUGGUAGCACACGGAAACCAA